rnacentral:rRNA from 1 species
GACGAGCGGCGGACGGGUGAGUAAUGCAUAGGAAUCUGCCCGAUAGUGGGGGAUAACCUGGGGAAACCCAGGCUAAUACCGCAUACGUCCUACGGGAGAAAGGGGGCUCCGGCUCCCGCUAUCGGAUGAGCCUAUGUCGGAUUAGCUGGUUGGUGAGGUAAAGGCUCACCAAGGCGACGAUCCGUAGCUGGUCUGAGAGGAUGAUCAGCCACAUCGGGACUGAGACACGGCCCGAACUCCUACGGGAGGCAGCAGUGGGGAAUAUUGGACAAUGGGGGGAACCCUGAUCCAGCCAUGCCGCGUGUGUGAAGAAGGCCCUCGGGUUGUAAAGCACUUUCAGUGAGGAAGAACGCCUGGUGGUUAAUACCCAUCAGGAAAGACAUCACUCACAGAAGAAGCACCGGCUAACUCCGUGCCAGCAGCCGCGGUAAUACGGAGGGUGCGAGCGUUAAUCGGAAUUACUGGGCGUAAAGCGCGCGUAGGUGGCUU